rnacentral:rRNA from 1 species
UACAGAGGCUGCAAGCGUUAUUCGGAUUCACUGGGCGUAAAGGGUGCGCAGGCGGCCAUGUGUGUGAGAUGUGAAAUCCCGGAGCUUAACUCCGGAACUGCGCCUCAAACUACAUGGCUAGAGCAUUGGAGAGGGAAGUGGAAUUCACGGUGUAGCAGUGAAAUGCGUAGAUAUCCGGAGGAACACCGGUGGCGAAGGCGGCGUCCUGGACCGACACUGACGCUGAGGCGCGAAAGCUAGGGGAGCAAACGGG